rnacentral:rRNA from 1 species
GACGAACCGUGCGACCGUUAUUCGGAAUCAUUGGGCGUAAAGAGCUUGUAGGCGGCGUCAUAAGUUGGACGUGAAAACUCCGGGCUUAACUUGGAGAGGCCGUUCAAUACUGUGAGGCUAGAGGGUGUCAGAGGGAAGUAGAAUUCCUGGUGUAGCAGUGAAAUGCGUAGAUAUCAGGAGGAAUACCCGUGGCGAAGGCGGCUUCCUGGGGCACCACUGACGCUGAGAAGCGAAAGCUAGGGGAGCAAACGGG